rnacentral:rRNA from 1 species
ACAAGCGGUGGAGCAUGUGUUAAUUCGAAGCAACGCGAAGAACCUUACCAGGUCUUGACAUCCCGAUGCUAUUUCUAGAGAUAGAAAGUUACUUCGGUACAUCGGUGACGGGUGGUGCAUGGUUGUCGUCAGCUCGUGUCGUGAGAUGUUGGGUUAAGUCCCGCAACGAGCGCAACCCCUAUUGUUAGUUGCCAUCAUUCAGUUGGGCACUCUAGCGAGACUGCCGGUAAUAAACCGGAGGAAGUGGGGAUGACGUCAAAUCAUCAUGCCCCUUAUGACCUGGGCUACACACGUGCUACAAUGGUUGGUACAACGAGUUGCGAGUCGGUGACGGCGAGCUAAUCUCUUAAAGCCAAUCUCAGUUCGGAUUGUAGGCUGCAACUCGCCUACAUGAAGUCGGAAUCGCUAGUAAUCGCGGAUCAGCACGCCGCGGUGAAUACGUUCCCGGGCCUU